UCCUAACGCAUCGAUUCUUACCUCUCCUGCUAACGCAAUCCCUUCGACCCUGCCCUCCUCGCGAACCUGGACGUGAUCCUCCCGACGCGUGCCCUCAUCUCGUCCUCGCGCCGCCGUCCUCUCCUCGUCCGACCUUGACCUCAUUCCUUCGAUUCCGGCGACUCCUCUGUGCCCCUGGCCUGGCCGACGCCGUCACAUCCGACGCCGAGGAGCCGGCCUGAUAGGCUUGAACCAUCCCUUGAUCCCUCGAGUCUUCUGCAUCCCUCGAUGUCUCGAUCCCUUGUCUUCUCCAUCUCUCGAUCCCUCACAUCCUUGCUGCUACGAAGAGAACGGUUCCCUUUCUACAUGGUCUGGCGUGAAAGAGCUCGAGCAAGGAGGGCGUGUGCGGCCACCUCGCACUUCGGCGAGAUCCUCGAGGCUGUCAUCGCAGACAAGGGCACUGGAAGAUCCAAGGGCGGCGGAUUCAUGAGAGGCGGAGGCUGCCAUUAGGGCGUGCUUGGGCCCGUACCCGGUGAUUGACGGUCGGAGGGCCUACUGCAACCUCGCCUGCCUCGGGGUCCAGAUGUCCAAGGCGCCACAACCAACUGCCUCUGCAUCCAUAUGCUGGGUGUCCAUGUUGGACGGAGACUUUCUCGUAGCCGAUGGUUGCCCUUCAAGCACCAACAAAUUAGAAAUUCCAAGCCCUGCUGAGAUUACGAGCUGGGUGGAAAGGGAAUCAACACCAUCACGCCAAAACAUUGAAGGAGCAAUCCAAGAGCUAAAAACUACAGUGAUCUCACUAUCCAUCAACAAUUGUUAUUUUUCUCUAUCUACGUCCUAAUCAGGUGUGUCACCUCCUAUUGACUUUGCCUACUGUGAACUUUGUUAUCUGAUUUUCCUUAUCCUGCUUGUUAGCUUUUUAUGCUAUUCUGCGCGCUGCGCAUAAUGUGCAUUUCUUGUUAUUUGCUAAUGUAUACUGGACAAAGCUUGGUUUGUUGUUGAAACACAUAAGUGCGGCAGCAAAUUCAUAGUGUGCAUUUCUUGUUAUUUGCCAAUGGUUGACAAAGCAUGGUCUUUUGUCGAAACACAUCCCUUAUGUUAUGUCCAAAAUUAGCUUGUUAGUCCUUUUUAGUGGGGCGCACUUAUAUAUCUCAAUUUUCCCUCCAGCUAUUUAUUACAUAUUAUGAUAUUGGUACAAAGGCUGCCAUAAAAGACGAGCAUGUCUUUGGAUCAGCAAUAUGUCAGGUGUUGUAUCCCCCCCCUUUAAUCUAACAAAGAAGAACAACAGUAAAACACAUAGACUGUUUUUAUUUUACUAAAAUGUCUACUGUCGACGCACGUUUGAACUGAAAUGUAUUCUGUUAACAAUUUAUGCUUUACCUUAAUUUCUAUUUUGUGUACAGGCCCUAGAGCUUGAACCUUCUUCAGCAAAUAAGGGUCACCAAGUUCUUAUAGUCAGUCACUGGACCACAACGCUUGAUAUCCUUCAAUGGACACUGGAAGUAAUAUGAGCUACAGAUAUGCGUCCCAAUGGGGGGUUAUUUAUUUCCUCAACAAGGUACAGUACAGUAGGACAGGUAAAGUGAACACACAACUUGAUUCUAUUGAUUCUAUGGUUCUUAGAAUGUCACUGUACUAUGUUUUAGGCUAAGCAGAAGCAGCGUUGGCCAUGAAGAACAUCAGUUUAUCUUUAAGAUAUCUCUGAAAUUUUGGAGAGUCUGAUGUGUUACGAAUUAUUGUUGUAUAUAAGGAGAAUAGUAGGAGAAGAUCUGCACUUGUGUAUGUGUGCAAGUUACAGUACAGUAGGAAUGGUAAAGUGAACACACAACUUUUUUGGAGGGAAAGGUCAUAAUGGCUAGCUUUAUUAACUCAAACAAGAAUUACAUCGUUCACUAAUUGGCUGAUCAGAAACCAUGGGGGUUCAUCAGUCCAAUUUUCAUUACAUUUAUUAUAAAAACUAAACUUUGCUAGCUCAUGAGCUACUGAAUUAGCAUAACGAAAACAGUGUGAAAAGAUGAUCUUCCUUUCGAUGUUGCCGUAUCAAUACAUCCUGCAAAGAUUGCCGUUGUUGCAUCCCACCACUGUGCUUGUCCCUGGCAAUUGUUAACAACACUCAAGAAAUCAGAUUAUGCUUCAGUUCUAUUAAAUCCCAAAGUAUUUGCUAGAUUUAACCCAUCACAACUUGAUUUUAUGGUUAUUACAACGUAACCGUAAUAUGUUUCAGGCUAAGCAGAAGUAGCGUUGGCAUUGAAGAACAUCAAUUUAUCUUAACGAUAUCUCUGAAAUUUUGGAGAGUCUGAUAUGUUACGAAUUAUUUUUGUAUAUAAGGAGAAUAGUAGGAGAAGAUCUGCAGUUGUGUAUGUAUAAGCUUUACUGACGUAGUUUUUUGUUCUUGCAAGAUCCUAACCGUUUACCCAUUUGCUACCUAGAUUCACUUACUGAUUGUAAAUUGCUUAACUUCUUGCACAUAAAAAGACAAUAGGCUUGGAUUUGUGAAACAACUAUAUUUUUCUGUACAAUGGUGAAAGAGCUACAUUGCUAUAUCGCUCUCUAAUUCAAUUUCUUCAAUUCCAUAUGGACAUAGGAAACUUGAAUACUACACCACAACUCUUAGGCCUGCCAAACUAUAAGGAUGAUCACGUGGUCAUGAGCGGAACCGGAUGUACCCCGUAAGAAAUUUUAUCUAAUUCUGAUCUCGAGCUCAUGGAUAAUCCACCUGAUGGAGUCAAAGACAAACAUCCUAGCCCAAUCCCCAUCAUGCACACGGAUCAAUGUGAAUUACUUCCUGGCCACCGCAACUACAUCAUGUCGAUCGAUGAUGCAAGUGUUUGGAGAAGGAAUGGGUCCGAAGCUCGACACCUCGUCCAAUGGUCUUAAGUCUCAAAAAACUUCAGGGCAUACUUAACAUGGAGCAGUCUAUGGACAAUGAUUGUUUCAACAUUGUCGUGCAUAUACUGGCAUGUGACGAGGGAGUAUUGUUCGCAGACCCUCCUAUACACUACAUGGAUUUACAAUUUUGUGUAAAUUAUCAAAAUUCUUCAUUCAAUAUCAUUAGUAUCAACAUGUUUCUAAAUAGUUUUUUACUCAGUCCAUGAUGCUGGAUUCAACACGAGAUCAAAAGUUCUGCGAUAAGGAAACUAUUCAGAAAUUGGCAACUUUGUUUGAUAGCUGGCUUGGGAUAGACAACAACAUCUCAUCGAGCAACAUGGUAAGUAAGGUCUUUUGUCUAUUGUUUAUCAUGGUUUAUGUUGUCUGUAAUAGCUACCACUUAUAGAUUUAUCUUCCAUAUGAAUCCAUCGGUCGAUACAUCUUGUACGUCAUCGACAAAGAGGCACGUCGUGUAUCUAUUCUGGACCCUAUUCAUACAACACAAUCGUCAGAGAUGAAAAUUCUGAGGUACUUAGUGAAAUUAAAAAGUUUUGCAAGGGAAUUCAAAGAAGCACUCGAAAUAAAGCAACCAGGAUGAAAUUUUGAUAUAUCCAAAUGGCAACGUUUAUUUGUUAAUGGCAUUCCAACGAGCGUAGAUGGGUAAUAAAUUUAGAAUAUAAACAUUUAUUUUUGUUAUCACAAUAUUUAAUGCAAUAACAAUUUAGGAAAUUGCAAGGAUUUGCCAGGCUAUUUUGUCUUUCAUUUUAUGCUAUUGUGGAACUGUAAAGACCUGGCGAAGCUGGUUUGUGUGGUGUGUAUUGUGCGUUACACAUGUUUUUAAACCUUCCACGUGAAGUAUUCGUGCUAGAUAUAUAUAUUGCUUUUGCAGGAUGGGUAUGAGUUGAGGAAGCAGUUUUUAUAUACUUGCUCAAACAUCGUGCGAAUGAAGCUAAAGACAACUUGCCUGAUAUUGUGAAGGAAUUUCUGAAGCGCAUCAAGUAGAUCUCAAUACUUUGUAAUAGAUUUUUAGUUGGAUCAUCACUUUAUACAUAUACAUUGUUAAUUUGCUAUUUUGUGAUCACUUUACAUUACAAGUGAAGUGGACUUCAAUUAUUAUGCAAUUGUGAGCCUCUUA